AUAAGCCAAUGGUGAUUCGCUACCAUCUGAGGGAUUAUGACUGAACGCCUCUAAGUCAGAAUCCCGCCUGGAAAGCGACGAUGCAUUCGUGCCUCGGCCUCGAGAGGCGUAGCUAGACGGCCGUGUGGCCGUGGAAAGAGCCCGAUUCCGACCCGAGAGGCCGCGGCAAGAGGCGGCCUCGAAGUCGGUGGAUCCUCCUGCUCGAAAGGCGGGGUGCUAAACCAUUCGCAGACGACCUAGUUGAAGAUCGGGGUGUCGUGAUCACUAGAGCAGUACAUCUCACUGCGAUUUGUUGAGAGUAAGCCUCAAGAUCUGUCGGUUUGU
rnacentral:ncRNA from 1 species